rnacentral:misc_RNA from 1 species
GCCCGCUUAGCUCAGUGGU